rnacentral:misc_RNA from 1 species
AACUGAUACUACCUGCGGGAACCUGCGGAAGGAUCAUUAACGAAUCCGCGUGGGGGUGGGUGAGAACCCGCCCUGACACUCGCCAGACUCCCGAGAGGGGGUUUGCCUGCGUGUGUGGUCGCACUUACCGUGUGCCACACUGCAGAAAUGGACGUGAUUGUUUGUCUUAUUCUGUGUGCGUCUCGUACACAAUUAAAUAUAAAACAACUUUUAACAAUGGAUCUCUAGAUCGGAAGAGCA